rnacentral:rRNA from 1 species
GGGUCAUUAGGUCGGUCGUGCCACCGGUACGUACUGGUCUCACUGAUUCCUCCUUCCUGAAGAACCGUAAUGCCAUUAAUUUGGUGUUGCGGGGAAACAGGACUGUUACUUUGAAAAAAUUAGAGUGUUUAAAGCAAGCUAACGCUUGAAUACAUUAGCAUGGAAUAAUGAAAUAGGACGAUCGAUCCUAUUUUGUUGGUUUCUAGGAUUGACGUA